CGGACGGGUGAGUAUCACGUGGGAACCUACCUUGAGGUGAGGAAUACCGGCGAGAAAUCGCCGACAAGACCGCAUAGCCUUCUCUUUGGGGAGAAGGAAAGUCCUUUCGGGGACGCCUGGAGAUGGGCCUGCGCCCGAUUAGCUGGUUGGUGGGGUAAGAGCCUACCAAGGCGACGAUCGGUAGCUGGUCUGAGAGGAUGAUCAGCCACACUGGGAUUGAGAACGGCCCAG
rnacentral:rRNA from 1 species